UGGGGAAUCUUGCACAAUGGGCGAAAGCCUGAUGCAGCCAUGCCGCGUGAAUGAUGAAGGCCUUAGGGUUGUAAAAUUCUUUCGCCAGGGAUGAUAAUGACAGUACCUGGUAAAGAAGCCCCGGCUAACUUCGUGCCAGCAGCCGCGGUAAUACGGAGGGGGCAAGCGUUGUUCGGAAUUACUGGGCGUAAAGGGCGCGUAGGCGGUCUGUCGCGUCAGGUGUGAAAGCCCCGGGCUCAACCUGGGAGGUGCACUUGAUACGGGCGGACUGGAAUCCGGGAGAGGAUGGUGGAAUUCCCAGUGUAGAGGUGAAAUUCGUAGAUAUUGGGAAGAACACCGAUGGCGAAGGCAGCCAUCUGGCCCGGGAUUGACGCUGAGGCGCGAAAGCGUGGGGAGCAAACAGGAUUAGAUACCCCCGUAGUCC
rnacentral:rRNA from 1 species